rnacentral:misc_RNA from 1 species
CCGAGUUUUCAACUCCCAAACCCCUGUGAACAUACCUCUUGUUGCUUCGGCGGACCGCGCUGCUCGUCAGUGCGCCCGCCGGAGGCCAAAAAACCAACGUGUAUUAUGUUUUCUUCUGAGUUAAACAAGCAAAUAAAUCA